rnacentral:rRNA from 1 species
AAAUCGGAGGAGUUACGCAUUCCUACUUUAGCCUGUGCAUUUUAAUGUUGGGAGGGGGGAUUGCCCCGGGCGCCUCGUGUGCCCCGGAUCAGGCGCCCGCCUAGGAACCUUAACUCUUGUUUUAUUUUGGAAUCUUCUGAGUAGUUUUUACAAAUAAAUAAAAACUUUCAACAACGGAUCUCUUGGUUCUGGCAUCGAUGAAGAACGCAGCGAAAUGCGAUAAGUAAUGUGAAUUGCAGAAUUCAGUGAAUCAUCGAAUCUUUGAACGCACAUUGCGCCCGCCAGUAUUCUGGCGGGCAUGCCUGUCUGAGCGUCAUUUCAACCCUCAUGCCCCUAGGGCGUGGUGUUGGGGAUCGGCCAAAGCCCGCGAGGGACGGCCGGCCCCUAAAUCUAGUGGCGGACCCGUCGUGGCCUCCUCUGCGAAGUAGUGAUAUUCCGCAUCGGAGAGCGACGAGCCCCUGCCGUUAAACCCCCAACUUUCCAAGGUUGACCUCAGAUCAGGUAGGAAUACCCGCUGAACUUAAGCAUAUCAAAAGGGGGGAGGAA